rnacentral:rRNA from 1 species
UACCGGCAGCUCGAGUGAUGUCCACUAUUAUUGGGCCUAAAGCGUCCGUAGCUGGCCAGCCAAGUUCGUCGGGAAAUCCACCUGCCCAACAGGUGGGCGUCCGGCGAAAACUGUCUGGCUUGGAACCGGAAGGCUCAGAGGGUACGUCCGGGGUAGGAGUGAAAUCCCGUAAUCCCGGACGGACCACCGAUGGCGAAAGCACUCUGAGAGGACGGAUUCGACAGUGAGGGACGAAAGCUAGGGUCUCGAA